rnacentral:rRNA from 1 species
UACGAAGGUGGCAAGCGUUGUUCGGAUUCACUGGGCGUAAAGGGUGCGUAGGCGGGUCUUUAAGUCAGAGGUGAAAUCCUGGAGCUCAACUCCAGAACUGCCUUUGAUACUGAGGAUCUUGAGUUCGGGAGAGGUGAGUGGAACUGCGAGUGUAGAGGUGAAAUUCGUAGAUAUUAGGAAGAACACCAGUGGCGAAGGCGGCUCACUGGUCCGGUACUGACGCUGAGGUGCGAAAGCGUGGGGAGCAAACAGG